UUCCUCCGGUACUUGUCCUCCUGCUCCUCCUCUUCCUCUUGACGAAUUGCAAGUAUACAAAUGCCCCAAUCUUAUCUCCUUUCCAAUUGAUUUAACCCGAACACCUUCUCUCUCUUACCUAGACAUAUCACAAUGUAAGAAAUUAACCGACUUGCCCAAGGGAAAGCUUUGUUCUCUUACAAGCUUGGGAUGGUUAGAAAUCGGACCAUUCUCAGAAACCACCACAGAGCUGCAUUCCUUCCUAGACCUCUUUGAUGCUCUCCCACCACCGCACCCCUACUUCCCCUCCCUUUCAAUGUUAGAUUUGCAUGGAUGGCCUCAUUGGGAAUCUCUGCCCGAGCAACUUCAGCAUCUCUCUGCCCUAACAUUUCUUCAGUUAAAGGGUUUUGGAGUAAAAUCAUUGCCCGAUUGGUUUGAGAAGCUUUCCUCACUUUAUGAACUCCAACUCUACAAAUGUGAAAAGCUAGAGAAUUUACCCUCUCACCAAUCUAUGAGAAGCCUCACUAGACUAAUAGUGUUGCAGAUUAACAACUGUCCCCUUCUAAAGGAAAGAUGCAAUCCAGAGAGCAGCAGCAGUAGCACGGAUCCCAAUUCUGAGUGGUCCAAGAUCUCCCACAUUCCCUUCACUAAAAUUGAUUCGGAGCAGAUCAGAGGCCAAUCUCCAUUUGAAGUUGUAACUAAUGCCAGUUUCCCCAAUUAAAGCAACUCGAUGUAUCGGAACAAAAGUCUUCAGCUAUCAUGGUUUCCUUGUAUAUGGCGAGCAGAUAAGUACCUGCACAUUCUUGGCAUUUGCAAAACUGAUGGUCUGUUUGUUAUGGGAGGGCUUUCUAGCUUCAAAUAGAUCCAUCAGGGGCACUCCCAAAAGGAAUUCUUUCUCUUUCUUUGUAUGGAGAUGUUAUGGCAAUACCAAGUUUAGUAUUAGAGUCUACAAUGAACCAUUUUAAAAACACAGGGAAUAGCAUUGAGGGCUGAGGGUGUAAUAUGUUUUCUUGAGGCUUCGAACUCUCUAACAUGCUGCAACAAAGAUUAUUUGGGUUGGCUAAGGGGAUUCUCAUGUAUGAGGUAACACUCCUCUUUCUGAUGAAAAAUUUGUGAGUCAGGAAAACUUUAUCAGACUUCAAAGACAAUCUAAAGGGGUAAUGAUAUGCCAUUCUGCAUAAUCACAUUCACAAGCAUCAGGAGUACUUCUUUUCAGAAUCAUCUUCAGACCGUCCCGAUAAAGGCACCACUUUUGUAUUCAGGUUGGCUAUGGGGAUUCUUAUGCAUGAGAUAACAUUCCUCUUUCAGAUGAAAAAUUUAUGAUUCAGGAAAACUUUAACCAACUUCAAAGACAAUUUCAAGCAGCAAUGCCAUUUAAUUGUGAAGCUUGUCAGAUGAUUAAAUAGUCAAGUAGCCUUGAAGCAAUUGCUUGAUAUGUCAUCCAAUUAGAGCGAGUUGGUGUAAUAAUAGGCAAUUUUCUAUUUUUAUUUCACCCGAUAUACAGUGAUUUGAAGCUGGUCCUUGGUAUUACUUGUUUAUCUGUGGUUAACCAACCGGAAUAUUUUUAGGUGGUUGAUAUCUUAGUUGCGGAGUUAGUUCUUAUUCUCUAAUGAAUAUAUGUGUAUGUUGAACAAUAUUAAUUAAGGGAUUACAUUCUUUUAUGUUGUGAAUUCUAAAAUGCAACUCUGCUUUCUUAUGCAGUUGUUUGAGUGCGAAAAAUCUGAUGAAUGGUCUGAAGACAUACUUUGAAGUUUUCUUGUACAUGAAAAGCUAUGUGCAUCAGCAUAAGCUGUUGUCUCAAUCUGAUGGGGCUAAUACUCUAGUUCAAGGCUAUUACAAAGUUGAUGGAAUAGAUGCCAUGGGGAGGUAGAGUUCAGUGCAGGGGUACACAUGGAAUCUUGAUUCAUGUCAUUCAAACAGGAAGUGUUCUGAGAGGAAGGAUCAACCGUGUUGGCAGUACUGUUCAUAUGGAUGGCAAUUUGCUAGUGAAAGAGGGUGUCCGUGCCUGAAAAGGCAUGGCACAUUUUGAGGAACCUUUGCUAUGUUAUCUGAGAUUUAGGUCUUUACUUGGCCUAGUUCAAGUGAUCUUCUGCAGUUGCAUUAGGAAAAGCAAUUCUAAGUCUAAUUUGACAGUCUACUAUCACAAUACUGAGCCCAUGGAAGUAUACAUGAGGUUGACAGUGAUAGAUUUUCUCGAGGCUUAGAGCUCUUCAAGAAUCUGCAUGAAAGACAAUUCUGGCUGACAAUAGGGAUUCUCGUGCAUGAGGUAAAGAAAAGAGCUAUGGAUAAGCCAAUACAAGGAAAGCUAUUGGUUGGAUUUUAAGUCAUGCUUUGCAGAAACAGAAUUUGUAUCUAUUCAGAUGACAAAUGCUGCUAAUGAAGCUUGUCAGCCCUUUUAAGGAAACAAAACCUGGUCUCCUCAAGAAGCUUUCAUCUAUUGAAGGAUCGUAAGUUGGCACAUCUGAAAAACUUGAGUUGUAAAUCUCCUACCAGUCCAUCCGAAGCCUCCCUAUAGGAAGCACAUCUUCUGAUCUAAAGGGAAGGUGCUGUAACAUGAGCUGCUACCCCAACAUUGACUGGUGCAAGUACUACCAGAUUACCUACUUUAAGAUUGUUCGUAUUCUAACUGGAAGCUAGGUAAAAAUUUGCUCAAUUUCUUGGAAAAUUCUCAUCUACGCCUAUGUUAAGGAUGUCUCAAUGCAGUAUAUAUCAAUCAUUAUGCUGUCUUCGGUUGUGUAUAUUCAAUAAUCUCAUGAUGCUGUACAUUCUUUUGAAAUUUUGAUGAAGAGUUCCUUAUUGUUAGAUGUUAAAGUCAAUGACUAUUGCAACAUAACACAUUGUAUAGUGUAUGAUCUUGCGCAAUCUAUUUUGAGUUUUGGAAAA